AAUUUGGAAUGUAGAAAUUUCCUAUUCAUUGCAGAUGUUUUGCUUUUAUCAGUGAAUUAGAUUAUGAUAAUAUUUAACUCCUUUGUUUCUUUCGCUUAUAAAUAUUGUCUAUGAAUUCUAGAUGUAUUUAGUUGUUCCUUUGCACUCCACCGUAAUUGAACCGAGUCUGUAAAAAAUGAAAAUCCCUAAAUUUUUUUGGUACAUUUUCUUUGGGCUGAUAUUUAAAAUGAUAAUGAUAAAUAUAGUCGCAGCUGGAUGCGCUGGCAGUAAAUGCUCUUCAGACGCAGAUUGUUGUGAACAUCAUAAGUGUCAGCAUCAGUUCACGGGCAUGUCGCUUAAAAGAUGCCACCUACUAACUAAAAGAUAAUUAUUUACACAAAUUUUUAAAAAUUAUAUUUGAUACAUUGUAAAGAUUCGGAAGCAAAUCUCAAAUUUAUUUUAUUCCGAAUUUACUACCUCAUUUAAAGUUCUGGAGUUUUUUUUUAAAUUACUCCGUGUAUAAAAAAAAGAGAAUUUUUAUUUUCUUCAUCGGGUGAUGUAAAUUUUAUUUAAAUGCGAAUACACUUGAAAUA